UACAGAGGUCUCAAGCGUUGUUCGGAUUCAUUGGGCGUAAAGGGUGCGUAGGCGGCGCGGUAAGUCGGGUGUGAAAUCUCGGAGCUCAACUCCGAAAUUGCACUGGAUACUGCUCUGCUAGAGGGCUGGAGAGGAGAUCGGAAUUCACGGUGUAGCAGUGAAAUGCGUAGAUAUCGUGAGGAAGACCAGUGGCGAAGGCGGGUCUCUGGACAGUUCCUGACGCUGAGGCACGAAGGUCAGGGGGAGCAAACGGGG
rnacentral:rRNA from 1 species